rnacentral:lncRNA from 1 species
AGAAUAGAAUUUUCAACCAAGUAACUGGAUUUCAAAGUUGAAGUAACAUAUGAAGUAUUCACUCAUUGCUUUGCCUUUGUCUCCCAAAGUGAAAGAACUCAGGGUAUACAGAAACUGAUUGAACAUACAUUCCUACCACAGGUCUAACUACAGUGUUGUAUUCUAAAUGUGAGAUCCACGCACGUUUGAGUAGUUGCUCCCCAGCUACUGGAACUCUUUGAGAAGGCCUCACCGGCAUUGGAAAGUAUUGCCUCUCUGGAAGAAGUGAGCCACUGGCGGUGACACCUGAGGCUUUGUAGCUGGGGCCCACUUCUUUUUCCCUGUCUGCUUUCUGAAUGUGAGAGCUACAUGACCCUCCAGUGUCUGCCUAUACCAUCCAUCAUGUCUUUCCUGCUGGACUCUACCUUUUCCCUGCUAUGAUGGAAUGUAUAUCUCUGGAAUUGUAAGUCAAAAGGCAUUCCUUUUCUUUUAAGUUACUUUAUUUUAGCCAUGAGGAAGUACCUUAUUUUAGACCCUGAGUAAGUACAGACUUUUGUGAUGGAGACCAAUUCAGAUUUGUGGAUAAAGAAGGAAGGUUAAAGCUGAAGAGUGGAUGGAACACCAUCCCCAAGGAAGGCUUUUGUCUAAGAAAUGCAUCUAAUAGAGGACAGUUGGGGAAUUUAGUGAGUAUUUAAGAUUACCUGAUAGCCUAAUUUUACCUGAUAGCCUAAUUUUAUUGUGGGCAAAACAUCAAUACUCUUAUGCUGUAAACUUAUACCUCAUGUUUGAUCAGGAAACAAAAAUAUUUUCAAGUUCACUCUUCAACUUUAGAAUAAUUUUACAGUUUCCUUACUGUAUAUAGAUGUUAUCUUGCCACAAGAAAUCCUGUGGCCUGAAGAAAUGUUUUAGUGGUUAAGAGCACUGUCUUCUCUUCCAGAGGUCCUGAGUUCAAUUCCCAGCAACCACAUGGUGUCUCACAACCACCUGUAAAUGGGAUCUGAUGUGUGUGUCUGAAGAUAACGCAACAUAUCAUAUAUAA